rnacentral:rRNA from 1 species
CCUACGGGCGGCAGCAGUGAGGAAUAUUGGUCAAUGGACGAGAGUCUGAACCAGCCAAGUAGCGUGAAGGAUGACUGCCCUAUGGGUUGUAAACUUCUUUUAUAUGGGAAUAAAAUGUUCCACGUGUGGGAUUUUGUAUGUACCAUAUGAAUAAGGAUCGGCUAACUCCGUGCCAGCAGCCGCGGUAAUACGGAGGAUCCGAGUGUUAUCCGGAUUUAUUGGGUUUAAAGGGAGCGUAGGUGGAUUGUUAAGUCAGUUGUGAAAGUUUGCGGCUCAACCGUAAAAUUGCAGUUGAAACUGGCAGUCUUGAGUACAGUAGAGGUGGGCGGAAUUCGUGGUGUAGCGGUGAAAUGCUUAGAUAUCACGAAGAACUCCGAUUGCGAAGGCAGUUCACUGGACUGCAACUGACACUGAGGCUCGAAAGUGUGGGUAUCAAACAGGAUUAGAUACCCUUGUAGUC